CUGCUCUAAAGAAAAAGCCAAACAACCUGUUUUAAGAAUAAUAAAGCAGGCCUAGGACAGUUCCAUGUAAAGAGAACCUGAGGCUUUUCCCAAAUUUGCCAGCAACAUCAGUGAACCACAUUGGAAUGGGAUCCGAUAGCAUCUCUAAGUCUUUGGCUGCCUCGAGGCCUGGACAGCAUCCUGACUGUAACCUCGUGAGAGACCCUGAGCCAGAAUCGCUCCAACGAGCUGCUUCCAAAUUCCUGACUCAAAGAAACGACUUAUCUAUGAGUGAAGGUAGUUGUUGUGGAGAGGAGGUAGGAUGUCUGCCUCUAACCUGUGGAAUAUUCCACCUUCUUCUUUUCAUCUGCCCCAAACAGAAGUAACUGACCAACCCACUUUAGAAGACUCCUCCCUAGGGUCUCCUUGCCUCCAAACCGGAUCUCUUCUAAUCUGCCCUUCACAUUGAUUCCUGGGUAACUUCUCCUAAAACACAGAUGCCUGCUCCUGUGCCUUCCACCACAAAUGUAAGCCUCCAGAGGCCUCCCCAGAGGCAAAUGCCAGUGUUAUGCUUCCAGUACCUCCUGCAGAACCAUAACCCAAUUAAAC
rnacentral:lncRNA from 10 species